CUCAUCUGGGCCAACUAUGUCACAUAUGGCUCAGUUCCGGUGGCGUCAAAGGCCAUAUGGGCCAUAUCUGGCCCACACACAUCAAGCCGUUUUUAGUGUGAGUUGUGGCUUGUUGUGUGUGGGCCAGAUACGGCCCAUGUGCGACAAGCCGGUUUUAAUUUGAGUUGCGGCUUGUUAUGUCUGGGCCAGCUACGGCCUGUGUGCAACAAGCCGGGUUUUAAUUUGAGUUGCGGCUUGUUAUGUGUGGGCCAGAUACGGCCCGUGUGCGACAAGCCAAUUGUAGUUUGAGUUGUGGAUUGUUGUGUGUGGGCCAGAUACGGCUGAGUGCGACAACCCGGUUUUAGUGUGAGUUGUGGCUUGUUGUGUUUGGGCCAGUCCUGGCCCUUGUGUGACAAAUCGGUUUAGGAUGAGUGAUGGCUUUUUGUUGUGUGUGGGCCAGAUAUUACUGGUUUAUGGUUAUGUUGACAUCAGACUGUUUUUAUGUGUGUUUCGGCUUAUUUAUGGGCCAGAUAUGUAAUAUGCUGCAUGGUUAGCUUAUUGGUUUUAAAAUGUAAAGGAAGGCAGCUGAAUUUUUUCCAUUGUAAUUUUUCUUCUAGAUCUGACAGGGCUAGGCUUCUUCAUAUUCGGCUCAAAUAAUUCAACCAUAUUUAUCAUAAUCAGACAGCUUUGUCUAUCAGAUCUUCUUGGACUCUGGCACAGAACUCAAAGAAUUCUAGGCGACAAUUUUUUGAUAAUCCAUUAACACAGGGCUCAACAUAAAGGACUGCCCUGUGGCCCGGGGCAAGUGUGAGAGAUGUUCGGGCAAGUAAAAAGUAUUGUCACUUGCCCGAUCGGGCCAGUGCUUCACCCUCAGUCACUAAAAUAUAUUUUCAUCAAUGUAUUUAGCAUCUUUGAAGCAGACAUUUACUUGGGUAAAACACGAUGAAAGAAACUAUGCAAUAUUUAGCACAAUUUGCUGUCAGUUUACAGGUAAAGCAGAAAAGUUGGGAGCCUUUUUUUCAUUGGAACAUAUCUGUUUUAUAUGUAUACAAUAUUUGACUUUUAAAUUAUUAUUUUUAAAUAUGUGACACUGACAUUUUUUAUUGGGGCCAGUGAAAAUUUUGGCAGGGCAAGUGAAAAAUUUGAACCACUGGCCCGACCGGGCCAGUAUAAAAAAUUAUUUGCGUUGAGCCCUGUAACAGAACAGCUUGUUUUAGUCAGCUAAAAAUUUUACAUUUAUGUGCAACAUCUGGUGAAAAUUUAAUGUCAAUAACACCUUUAGAAAUAUAUGGUAACUGAGGAAAAAUGGUGACGAGUUAAAUUUUACCCGCUGCAUGUAAAUUAACUGCUUGCCCUGCAUUAAAGACUUGUAAAUGCACAACGCUGAGGCAAAGAACCCCAAACCCCAUUUAAAAUCCUUUAAUGCACAGCAAGUCAUUGAUUAUCCCACUUAUUCCACGGUCAUUUGCCAAGUUAUAGACAAGUUAAAACUAGUUUUGCUCUUUGUAGCUUAAAAUUUGAUAGAAUGGGUAAAAAUAACAGUUAUUUCCAGGAGCUCCUCUUUUUUGUAAACAACUGAUCUGUCUUUUAUAAAUCUGAUAUAAAAGACUCUUCUGAGAUUUGAAGGAUGCACACUACUAUUCGAUAGGUAGGCUACUCAAGUUUAACCAAACUGUUCGUGGACCCCGUUUACUUCCAUAGUAUUACUUUUCCAAUUCCUGCUAUAGAAGUGAAUGGGAUCCAAAGACAUUUAUGCAGGUUUGUAACAACAUGAGGGUGAGUAAAUGAUGACAGAGUUUUCAUUUUUGGGUGAACUAUUUAACCUUUUAUAGCUUAGCAGAAAAAUGUUAUGUGACCUUUAAGAAUAGGAUAAAGUACAUCUUUAACAAAAGCAAAGAUUAAAAAACAAAUUGUAGAAUAAAUAGAAAGUGCUACACAAGUGUAAAACAAUACAAAAUCGUCCCACUAUCACAUGCAGAUGUGUCACUUUGCAAUGGGGCAAUGAUGAAUAGUACACAGAACAACCAAAUAAGUUUUUACGAUUUAUAAACAAUUUAAAGAUAUUUUAAAGUGUUAUGUACUGUUCUAAUUCCAGAGAUGUUUAUUCAUGUAAAUGGUGUGAGGCUUUACCAUGUAUAUAAUAGGCCAAUGGCUAUGCUGUGCACGCGAAACAUGUCCUGCCCCUUUAAAUCACGAAGGGAGUUACCAUGGAAACUGAAGGAGCACGAGGACAGCUAGCUCCGUCUCCCGCGGUUUCUUCGCUGUUUUCAAGAGUGACAAAAACCCUCUAUAAUAGAAGAGAAGCUCAAGAUUUCAACAUUUUCUGAAGGGAGUUGCAGACAGGUGUAGAAAACUGCUUUUCAAAUUUUCCACAUUUAUCACAGUUAUUUUAAGAUGUUGACAUCUAAACAUUUGUCCAUGCUAAUGGCCGAGCAGUAGGGUUGGAACAGACCUGUCAGAAAACAUCUCUGAACCAUAUGACUAAUUUCAAAACAAUUUAUUCUUGAGAGGAGGCACCACAGUUAAAGACAGUGUUUUGAAGAAUUUUGAACUUCCUGCUCACAAACUACCUACCUCUCCAGUUAGUCUGACAGGCUAUCAAUGAGAAUGCGGCAUUACAGGACACCACUGAAAACUAUACCACUAAAAACUGAUUAUUGCUGCAGUCAGAAGAAACAGAUUAACAGCAACUAUCUGCUUGAGACCAAGAGAUUGAGCACUGGGUUAAGACAUGGUUGCAGCUUGCCACAGACAGAGAUGAAGGUCGUUGGGCAAAAGAGAAGAUUUAAAGGCAUAGCUCACCCAAAAAUGGAAACUCAUUUACUUACCAUCAAGAUGUUUCAAACUCUAUCAAAUGUAUUUGUUCAGUUACUGACUGUUAUAAAUUAUACAGGUUUGGAACAACCUUUGGGUGAGCAAAAUUACAGUUUUAAUUUUAAUUAGUGAACUAUCCCUAUUGUGAGUUUUAUAAGUUUAUUAAGAAAUGUUGAGUAUUAUAUCAGAGUUUUGUAUGUAAGGAGAUGGUAGUUGUACGUUUGUGUGUUGAUAUAGAUGGUUUCAGUGGCAACAACAUAAAUCACUUUCAUGGCCCAAACUUAACUUCGGGUAGACCUCCACAUAGAUUCAAUAACAACCGAGUAUCUCUGGAGCAGUUUUUUUUCUGAUAACAAACAAAAUAAAUAACCAGUAAAUAGCCUUAGAUCAAAUCAUAGCUAAAGCAUUUCAACCAUUACAUUGAUCUAAUGUUACUGGGUAAAAUUAAGCUUUACAAUUUUAGCUACAGAUCUUUGAAAAUGUUUGUACGGUAUACUGCCCAUUUCCAGAAAGGUAAUAAAAACAGCGUGCACAGUGACGCUGCUGACGUGUUAUCCUCAGACAUGUUUGUGAAGAUUGUUUUGUUUAUAGCGUGCGUCUCCCUCAGACUGUAAAAAAAGCUUGGGAACAAGAAAAAGCUUGGGCAAACAAGAUAACAUGUCAGCAGCGUCACUCCAGUGUUGUGCACGAGGUUCACAACAGACCUGGAAGAGAAGACGAUGCUGAAUAAAGUCAUAAUUUCUGUUAUUUUUGGACCAAAAUUUAUUUUCGAUGCUUCAACACAUUCUAACUGACCCACUGAUAUCACAUGGACUACUUUGAUGAUGUACAGUAUAUAUUUGAUCGUGUAUACACAUAUCUAAAACAUCUUAAACUGUUUCCGAAGAUGAACGGAGGUGUUACGGGUUUGGAAUGACAUGAGGGUCAUUAAUUACAUAAUUUUCAUUUUGGAUGAAAUAACCCUUUAAGUUUGGCCAGGUGUGUAACUGUGGCAACGCACAUGCAUCUAUGGGUUCCAGUAUAUCUUACUAUAUAACAUAUUAAUUUAACUAACAUGUUUGACAAAUAUAAUUAUGUUUAUUUAUAAAUAUUAUCUGUAUUGGAUUUUUUAAAUGUUUAAUAAAGAAAUUUUGACUAUAUGAGUUUUAGUUUUUUCUUAACUAUAGGUUAAUUAGCAUAUAGUAAGAGUAGAUGUGUGCCACAGCUUAGAAGACGCUACUGCAUGGAAUGACAGC